ensembl:lncRNA
GUGGAGGAGGAGGCAGGGUCACUGGGCUCUUCCAAAGGAUUCUUUUUCAAGAACGGAGCCUACCGUUGGUUAGGUCUCAAACAGCCUUUAGGCUUCUCCUUAGAGCUCACAAGUGUUGUGACCUUGUUUGUACACUAAGAAAAUACAAUUGUAUACCCUUUGGGUCUGCCUUCAUACAUUUAAGCCAGAUUUGUGAAGACUAGUGUUUAAUGAUUCUGAUCCAACAAGAGCAGGACUUCCCUGGUAGUCCAGUAGUUAGGACUCAGUGCUUCCACUGCAGGGAGUACUGGUUCGAUCCCUAAGAUCCCACAUCCUUCAGGGAACAGCCAAAAACCAUGAACAGUCUGAUACAUGAAAUGAAUUGGGGAUGUCAUAAUAACCAAGGCCAGAAGCACAAUCUGUGGUGAGAACAGAAGAACAUAGGACAUAAAGGAAAAAAAACUACAAAGCAAAUCAUACACCCUUCACUGUCGUCUUCAGAAUAUGGAUGAAAGGGUGGGUUCCCAGAGUCUCCUGUAAAAUGAGAAUUUGAAAUGUGAACCCAAGGCUAAUGGAUUCAUUUAAUUUUUUUAAUAAGGGGAAGCAGAUAGCUCCCUUGAGGGGGCAGUUUUUUGGUUUUAGUAAAGCUAUGGAAACCUUAUGGCAGAAAGUGAAGAAGAACUAAAGAACUUCUUGAUGAAAGUGAAAGAUGAGAGUGAAAAAGUUGGCUUAAAACUCAGCAUUCAGAAAACUAAGAUCAUGGCAUCCAGUCCCAUCACUUCCUGGCAAAAUAGAUGGGGAAAUAAUGGAAGCAGUGAGAGACUUUAUUUUCUUGGGCUCCAAAAUCACUGCAGAUGGUGACUGCAGCCAUGAAAUUAAAAGACACUUGCUCCUUGGAAGAAAAGCUAUGACCAACCUAGACAGCAUAUUAAAAAGCAGAGACAUACUUUGCCAACAAUGGUCUGUCUAGUCAAAGCUAUGGUUUUUCCAGUAACCAUGUAUGGAUGUGAGAGUUGGACUAUAAAGAAAGCUGAGCACGGAAGAACUGAUGCUUUGAACUGUAGUGUUGGAGAAGACUCUUGAGAGUCUCUUGGACUGCAAGGAGAUCCAACCAG